UACGUAGGGGGCGAGCGUUGUCCGGAAUCAUUGGGCGUAAAGGGCGCGUAGGUGGCUUCUUAAGCGUGCGGUGAAAGCCUGGGGCUCAACCCCGGGUCGGCCGUGCGAACUGGGGGGCUGGAGCACUGUAGAGGCAGGCGGAAUUCCGGGUGUAGCGGUGGAAUGCGUAGAGAUCCGGAAGAACACCGGUGGCGAAGGCGGCCUGCUGGGCAGUUGCUGACACUGAGGCGCGACAGCGUGGGGAGCAAACAGG
rnacentral:rRNA from 1 species